AUGGCAUCGCUGCCUUGCUCUGCUCUCUUCCUCGCCUUGCUCCUUGCCGUGCUAGUGCACCACCACCAGCCACGGUUGCUCGUAGCCGCAGCCGCCGCACGGACCAACCUCACGGCCGGAGUCCCCAUGACACCGCCCAGCUACAUCACCAGCCCGUCCGGCGUCUUCGCGUUCGGCUUCCGCGCCCUCGACGGGUCCAGCCCGGGCCAGUUCCUCCUCGCCACAUGGUUCCGCUCCGGCUCCGACGACGACGACGGCCGGACCAGCAGCUCCUCCCAGCUGCAGUCCGUGGUGUGGUUCGCCAAGCAGUCGGGUACCUACUCGUCGGCCGCCCUCGCCACGGCGCAGUCCGGCCUCAGCGUUACGGUCGACGGCCGGCUGGAGCUCGCCGACACCACCGACGGCGGCAACCGUGUGCUGUGGAAGGCGCCGAUCCCCCUCUUCAAGAGCGGGUCCGUGCUCGCGCUCCUCGACUCCGGCAACCUCCAGUUCCUCGGCGACGGCGGCGGCCCGGAGAGCGUGCUGUGGGCGAGCUUCUGGUACCAGACGGACACGCUGCUGCCGGGCCAGUCCUUGACCAAGGACGAUCAGUCCCGGGGGAAGCUCAUCUCAAGGCGCGCGGACACAGAGUUCACCACCGGCCGGUUCACCAUGGGCGUCCAGACGGACGGCAACGUCGUGCUCUACGUGGACCUGCUCAGCGGCAACAGCGCAGCCAAUGCCUACUGGCAGGCCCAUACCAUCAGCUCCAGCGGCAACACGACGGUGACCUUCGACGACCAGCGCGUCCUCAGCUCCACUCUCUACAACGGCGACGUCCACAGCCUGAUAUCGUCGGCGCUGACCGGCAGCCCAGGCAAGUUCUACAGGUUCGCCAGGAUGGACCCCGACGGUGUCGUCCGUGCCUAUGCUCGUGCCAAGAACGUGCAGGACGGCGGCGGCAACACGUCGUGGAGCGUCUCGGGGGCCUUCCCCAGCGACGCAUGCAACGGGAGGACGUCCGGACUGCAGGGCGUGUGCGGCCCGGGGUCGUACUGCACGGAGCAGAAGGACCGGCUCCGCUGCGUGUGCCCGUCGGGGUACACGUACGCCGACGCGCAGCACACGGACAGCGGCUGCACGCCGAAGUUCGCGCCGCAGAGCUGCGACGGGGAGAACAGCACCGAGGAGUACACGCUCGUCGAUCUGCCCAACACCACAUGGGAGGCAUCGAUCUACUACAAGAAGUUCACGUCGGUCACGGAGGAUCAGUGCCGGAACCACUGCCUCAACGACUGCUACUGCGCCGCCGCGCUGAUGAUCAACGGGACUGAUUGCGCGGAGUUGGCGGUGCUGACAUACGGGCGGCAGGCGAGCGACGUCACCACGAAGGCACUGAUCAAAGUACGGCGAAGCAAUCCUCCGGCGAGGGUGUCGGCGAGGACAAGAACCAUACUAGCCGUGACAGUCUGCGUGGCCUUUCUGCUGCUGGCCAUCCCCGGUGGCGUCCUGGCAAAGCACCACCUGACCAAGAAGAACAGAGACAACCAGGGGUUGUUGAGCGUGAGAGCUUUCAGCUGGAAGGAGCUCCACAGAGCCACCAACGGCUUCGAGAAGCUGCUUGGGAAAGGGAGCUUCGGCGAGGUCUACCAAGGAGAGCUCAAGUCCCCGCGGCGGCGCCUCAUCGCGGUGAAGAGGCUCAUCAACUCGAACGAGUACAGCGAGAGGGAGGUGCAGUCCAUCGGGCAGAUCCACCACCGCAACCUGGUCCGCAUGAUCGGGUACUGCAAGGAAGGCAAGCACCGGAUGCUGGUGCUGGAGUUCAUGCCGGGAGGGUCGCUACGUGGCUUCCUCUUCAAGCCGGAGCGGCCGCCGUGGAGCUGGCGCGCCCAGGCAGCGCUCGGCAUCGCCAGGGGGAUCGAGUACCUCCACGACGGGUGCGCCUCCCCGAUCAUGCACUGUGACAUCAAGCCGGACAACAUACUCCUCGACGACGCGUACGCCCCCAAGAUCACCGACUUCGGGAUCUCCAAGCUGCUCGGCAACCAGCAGGUGCACACCACGGUAACCAACAUCAGGGGCACCAGGGGGUACAUCGCCCCGGAGUGGUUCCGCAGCGACGCGCGGAUCGACACCAAGGUGGACAUGUACAGCUUUGGUGUCGUGCUGCUGGAGAUGAUCUGCUGCCGGAAGUGCCAGGACCCGGUGGUCGACCAGGACAGGGACGAGACGGUCACGCUGUUUGGGUGGGCGAUCCAGCUGGUCAGCAGCAAGAGGACUGAGCUCAUACUGCCUGACGACGAUGAUGCGGCAGCGGACUUGGAGAGGGUGGAGAGGUUCGCGCGCGUGGCGUUCUGGUGCAUCGAGCCCAACCCGUCGCUCCGGCCGACGAUGCACCAUGUGGUGCAGAUGCUGGAGAGCGCGGUGGCUGAGGCUGAGGUGCUACCUGACCCUCCCUCUUGUUACAUGGACUCGGCUCCUUUGAUCGUGUCUUCUGUUUGA
rnacentral:rRNA from 1 species